GCCAUGGCUUUGCUGAGUACUCUGGAAGCAGUGUGGCUGGGGUUUCUCCUCAACUCUCUCUGGAAGGUUGCAGAGAGCAGGGACCAAGUGUUUCAGCCUUCUACUGUGGCAUCUUCAGAGGGAGCUGUGGUGGAAAUCUCCUGCAAUCACUCUGUGUCCAAUGCUUACAACUUCUUCUGGUACCUUCACUCCCCAGGAUGUGCUCCAAGACUCCUUGUUAAGGGUUCAAGGCCUUCUCAGCAGGGACGGUACAACAUGACAUAUGAACGAUUCUCUUCAUCACUGCUCAUCCUGCAGGUGCAAGAGGCAGAUGCUGCCGUUUACUACUGUGCUCUGGAGCACACAGAGGCAGGGAACCUAUGA